AGCGGAGGAAAAGAAACUAACAAGGAUUCCCCUAGUAGCGGCGAGCGAAGCGGGAAGAGCUCAAAUUUAUAAUCUGGCACCUUCGGUGUCCGAGUUGUAAUCUCUAGAAAUGUUUUCCGCGUUGGACCGCACACAAGUCUGUUGGAAUACAGCGGCAUAGUGGUGAGACCCCCGUAUAUGGUGCGGACGCCCAGCGCUUUGUGAUACAUUUUCGAAGAGUCGAGUUGUUUGGGAAUGCAGCUCAAAUUGGGUGGUAAAUUCCAUCUAAAGCUAAAUAUUGGCGAGAGACCGAUAGCGAACAAGUACCGUGAGGGAAAGAUGAAAAGCACUUUGGAAAGAGAGUUAACAGUACGUGAAAUUGUUGGAAGGGAAACGCUUGAAGUCAGACUUGCUUGCCGAGCAAUCGGUUUGCAGGCCAGCAUCAGUUUUCCGGGAUGGAUAAUGGUAGAGAGAAGGUAGCAGUUUCGGCUGUGUUAUAGCUCUCUGCUGGAUACAUCUUGGGGGACUGAGGAACGCAGUGUGCCUUGGCGGGGG
rnacentral:rRNA from 1 species